rnacentral:rRNA from 1 species
UUUUCGAGCUCCGGCUCGACUCUCCCACCCUUUGUGAACGUACCUCUGUUGCUUUGGCGGCUCCGGCCGCCAAAGGACCUUCAAACUCCAGUCAGUAAACGCAGACGUCUGAUAAACAAGUUAAUAAACUAAAACUUUCAACAACGGAUCUCUUGGUUCUGGCAUCGAUGAAGAACGCAGCGAAAUGCGAUAAGUAAUGUGAAUUGCAGAAUUCAGUGAAUCAUCGAAUCUUUGAACGCACAUUGCGCCCCUUGGUAUUCCGGGGGGCAUGCCUGUUCGAGCGUCAUUACAACCCUCAAGCUCUGCUUGGAAUUGGGCACCGUCCUCACUGCGGACGCGCCUCAAAGACCUCGGCGGUGGCUGUUCAGCCCUCAAGCGUAGUAGAAUACACCUCGCUUUGGAGCGGUUGGCGUCGCCCGCCGGACGAACCUUCUGAACUUUUCUCAAGGUUGACCUCGGAUCAGGUAGGGAUACCCGCUGAACUUAAGCAUAUCAA